AACGAACGCUGGCGGCAUGCCUAACACAUGCAAGUCGAACGAAGUCUUCGGACUUAGUGGCGCACGGGUGCGUAACGCGUGGGAAUCUGCCCUUGGGUACGGAAUAACUCAGAGAAAUUUGUGCUAAUACCGUAUAAUGUCGUAAGACCAAAGAUUUAUCGCCCAAGGAUGAGCCCGCGUAAGAUUAGCUAGUUGGUGAGGUAAAAGCUCACCAAGGCGACGAUCUUUAGCUGGUCUGAGAGGAUGAUCAGCCACACUGGGACUGAGACACGGCCCAGACUCCUACGGGAGGCAGCAGUGGGGAAUAUUGGACAAUGGGCGAAAGCCUGAUCCAGCAAUGCCGCGUGAGUGAUGAAGGCCUUAGGGUUGUAAAGCUCUUUUGCCCGGGAUGAUAAUGACAGUACCGGGAGAAUAAGCUCCGGCUAACUCCGUGCCAGCCGCCGCCGUAACAC
rnacentral:rRNA from 1 species